GUGGGUGUUCCUCUUUUCUCAAGUUGGCAGUUAUUAAAAAGUUAAGGAUCAGCUCUGACCAAUUGUGUUGUUUGGGUUCUUGCCAUAAUAUGGACUUUGUCUUUUACCAAAUAGGGAUAUCUUCUGUAUACCACCCCUACCUUGUCACGACACAACUGAUUGGCUCAAACGGAUUAAGAAGAAAGAAAUUCCACAAAUGUAUUUUUUAACAAGGUACACCUGUAAAUUGAAAUUCAUUCCAGGACCUGAGCCCUAGGACCAUGCCUCAGGACUACCUGGCUUGAUGACUCCUUGCUGUCCCCAGUUCACCUGGCCGUGCUGCUGCUCCAUUUCCAACUGUUCUGCCUGCAGCUAUGGAACCCUGAACUAUUCACUGGAUGUGCUACCUGUCCCAGACCUGCUGUUUUCAACUCUCUAGAGACAGCAGGAGCGGUAGAGAUACUCUCAAAGAUCGGCUAUGAAAAAGCCAACUGACACUUACUCUUGUGUCACUGACUUGUUGCACCCUCGACAACUACUAUGAUUAUUAUUAUUUGACCAUGCUGGUCAUUUAUGAACAUUUGAACAUCUAGGCUAUGUGCUGUUAUAAUCUCCACCCGGCACAGCCAGAAGAGGACUGGCCACCCCUCAUAGCCUGGUUCCUCUCUAGGUUUCUUCCUGGGUUUUGGCCUUUCUAGGGAGUUUUUCCUAGCCACCGUGCUUCUACACCUGCAUUGCUUGCUGUUUGGGGUUUUAGGCUGGGUUUCUGUACAGCGCUUUGAGAUAUCAGCUGAUGUAAGAAGGGCUAUAUAAAUAAAUUUGAUUUGAUGAUUCUGUCAUCAUGAAGUUCUUUGAGAGACUAGUCAUGGACCAUAUCACCUCCACCCUACCUGAUAACCUAGACCCAAUCUAAU
rnacentral:lncRNA from 1 species